AGCGGAAAUUAUGCGACGGUAGGUGCUGCUAAUCUAUUUUCACGAUGGAAGGUUUUGCGAUGCGCUGGAAUAUAUUACGGCCCAUUGUCGUAUGUCCCAAAAAGGAAGCAUACUCAUAAAAGUUAAAAUAACUUUAUCCCGAAUAGAAUAGAAUUAUUUUAUUGUCACAUUUUCUUGCACAACGAAAUUUGCAGAACACUUUGCGCUACUCAAGGUUUUACAAACAUUUAAAACUAAAAGGCUCCUGUGCUUGGCUAAAUAGUCAAUUUAGCAGUCAAAUUGAGCCCGGGCUCAAUUUGUGCUGCAUUGUGUCUCAUUAUACCAUAUUAUGUUACUUGUAGUUUUAUAAAUAGCAUAUCUUACCAUGAGUAACAUUGUUUCAUUGUCCAAGAAGCUCUGUUUUAUAUGGUGCUAUUACUUUGCUGCUAAAUUUAUAUUUUGACAGACGGGCUCGUCUUGUCAUAUUUAUUAGCUUAUGCUUUCGAUCUAUAAGUAAUUCAUCACUUUUGAUCUAAGCGAAGUAAUCUUCUUCUGUAUCCUAUGAGGUUCAUUCAAGUUUGCUGAUAUUACAUUAGAAUUAGUUCAUUCUCUGCCCUAUUGGGUGUGAAAUCAUUCGGCUCAAAAUCAUAGGCAGUCGGGUUGCAAGGGUACGCAAGUAAACAACAUUCAAAAGAACAAAAUUAAGAUUUCAUUAAACCAUUAGCAUGAAAAAUUGUCUGUUAAUGUUGAAAUGUGAAAACAUAAGGCUUUGAGCCGAAAGUUUAGGAUGCUUCGCACACACCUUGCAACUCGUGGUGAAUGCGGGACUGUUAUCGCAACGUAGUGUUAGUGAUGCAGUGGUUGCUGGAAGAAAAAUAAUGGGCACUUCAGGCACUUUCCACUUGCAUAUUCAAGUUUGGAGGACAUUCAAAUGGAGCUCAAUAUUGCAACGAAGCAUCUCAUACAAGAUGUGUGAACAUGGUGGAAUAGCACACAUUAUAUGAUCAAGAGCCUUAUAGCUCAAAAAUGAGCCUUGUGUACAUAUUCUGCAGAGCAUAAACUGCCAGCCACACUGUGUGCACCUCAGUGGGGGUUACUUGAAAAGAUCAGCUCUGGCCCCUUUUGAGGAGUUCACAAGGGUGGUAAGCUCCUCAUGGUCAUCUGCAUCUGAAGUUAUCCCCAUCGCUUGUGUCCUUAAGCGCGUUCUGUCUCAAUGAAACAAAAGUGACGAGGGAAUAAGGACGAUGAAGAGCACCCUUCUCAAGGCUGUUAACAGACGCUUCAAAGAUGUAGAAUCUGAGCCAGCAGAUGGGACAUCUUGUGAAUCAGCUGCUGUGGAACCAGCAAGCAAGACUCCACAGAAGGGAACUGCAAGCCACAGCAGACUUGAAAGUAUAUUUGAUGAAAUCCUGCAGGAAAGCUCUGCAGAGCCGGCUCCUCAGUUAACCACCACAAGUGCAUGUAUUGAAGUGCAAACCUACCUCAGUGAGCCAACUACAGUAUUCAGCACUCACACAAUCCACUGCUGUGCUGGCAAGUCAACCAGCCUAGAUUACCCACUCUGGUUUGUACAGCAGCUAAAUUUCUUUGUGCACCUUCAACAAGUGAGAGCGAGAGGCUCUUCAGUACAGCCUCCAUCAUUAUUGAUGAAAGGAGAAGCAGGCUGACAGCUGAGAAGGCUGAAAUGCUGAUCUCUCUAAAGAAAAACCUACCCCUUAUGUUAAAGUGAAGCAAGAAAAGAGUUGUUAAGAAAAUGACAUUCCACUUUGCACUUGUCUUCAAGAUUUUUUGGAUGGUGCUGAUCCGUCAAAUGCUGCUAAAACUGAGGACAUUUAACUAAAAAGAAGCAGUGUUACUAAACUACGUUCUCUGUUUUCCUUCCUUAUUAUAUCACAGGUAUGAUUUUUGUAUUUGUGUUAAGGUAUACAGAAUGUAUCUGGACAUUUUUUAAAGCAUUAUUUUUUGUUUUCUGAUUAAAAAAAAGACUCAGAGACUGUAUUGGAUUUGUAUCGUAUCGACAGAUAUCCAAAUUUACAAUAUCGGUAUUGGACAUAAAAAAGUGGUAUCAUGCCAUGUCUAGUAUCAGUCAGGAGGUACACAUUUUUUUCCACGGCAUUAGAUUUACCAUGGAACACAUUCUAACAGGGGCGUGUAAAUUCGACUUAAAGACAGACUUGGAGAAUGGAUCUUGUUCAUAACCUGGAGACAUCCUGUAAAUGGAAUUUAUGUGCAAAUUAUUUUAUUAGCUCAAUUAGUCAAAACGGUACAUGUUUAUCGUCCAAAGAAUACCCCAGCAAAACAAAAUAAUUACAUUUUAGGAGGAUGUAGUAGUGAACCACUUUAUACCACACCUCUGGUGUAGUAGUUUCGGGCACGAUGACACACACAGAUUUAUUAAGUAUACAAUGCAUACAUUUUUAUUUAUUUAUCCUACACCAAUAAAAAGAUAGUCUAACAUUUUACCAAAUAUCUUAAAAUUUGUGUAGACUAGUGUUGCACAGGAUAGCAGUACUGAAAAGAUAUUGUGGUAUUACAUUUUUAAAAUCUGUUCGGUAUUACAUUUCUUUAGUACCGAUACUAAUUCCACUAUUACGGACAUCGCUUACGCUAUAUAGCGCUAUCCAUUGAAUCAGAACCAUGGACUCAGUGUGUCUGAACCAUUGCCAACACUCAGUUAUACCCUAUAUAAGAAUUGCACGCAUCAUGCAAUAUAGAAUACUAAGAUGUCAGCUUUAAAUAUGAUCUCCCUAGCUUCAAGUCAGUGAUUUAUGUUUGGGAUCUUAUGAUAUGACUAGCAAGAUCUUGUUAUAUAAUAAACAUUCUACGUUACCAUCAUCAAACUAGCAUUUGUAGCUACAGGUUAUUAUGCUAUGCUGUGUUUUAAACAGUUAGAUAAUCCAGCCUAAUGCACUGCAUGGGAAGUUUUUUCGUUUAUUGAGCAGUUAAAUGGAAGAAAACAGAAGAAACUGUUGUAACCUUUUUGGGGGCUUAUAUAAUCUGUGCUAUUUUUAAUUUUUUUUACAGUGGAGAGUAAUCGUGAUGAGUUUGGUCAUGGACGAAAUAUGUUUUGCAUGCUUGCCUGUUUUUAUUUUCAUUCAUUAGCACAGGGCCCCCUCAAAAUCCUUAAAAUGAAAAUGACGGAAUCUGCACAGCCUGAUCUGACCGGUUCCUUCCAGGUUCAGUUAAUAAACUUAGCACAAAAAGUAAGGACAUUUGUGUUUGGUCGGUCAUUUCUUUGUUGUGACAAUGCUUCUUGGGAAUAAACCUUAUACCGUUGGAAAGCCU